AGAAUCCAAGGCCUCGGAAGUCUGACAGCGGUGGAAGAUUCAGCUGCCCCAGGAGAGUAACUGUGCCUAAGGUUGUGGAAUUGCCCUCUAAGCUGAGUGUAUGGUUUGCAUGAUAUCCCUGUUCACUUUCAACUAGUAUGGUCUGUGGACAUGACUUUCAUAUUGGAGUAAGAGGCAGCAUUUCUGACACCGCGGCAGACUGGUGUGGCCCUCAGAAGCUUCUUUCUUCUGGUGUCAGUAACAGGCCUUUCACCAUGAACAAUUCUACUCCAGCUAC